CUCCGAUCAGUUAGCCCAAAAAAAUAAAUCCAACAAUCAAUUUUUCUAACCCCAAAAACAACACCCAAAACUAGAACAAACCAUUUUUUACCCAAGUAUGGGAGACAGAAAAG
rnacentral:rRNA from 1 species